AGUUUGACUGGGGCGGUCUCCUCCCAAAGUGUAACGGAGGAGUUCGAAGGUACGCUAGUUACGGUCGGACAUCGUGACGAUAGUGCAAUGGCAUAAGCGUGCUUAACUGCGAGACUGACAAGUCGAGCAGAGACGAAAGUCGGUCAUAGUGAUCCGGUGGUCCCUCGUGGAAGGGCCAUCGCUCAACGGAUAAAAGGUACUCUGGGGAUAACAGGCUGAUACCGCCCAAGAGUUCAUAUCGACGGCGGUGUUUGGCACCUCGAUGUCGGCUCAUCACAUCCUGGGGCUGUAGCCGGUCCCAAGGGUAUGGCUGUUCGCCAUUUAAAGUGGUACGUGAGCUGGGUUUAAAACGUCGUGAGACAGUUUGGUCCCUAUCUGCCGUGGGCGUUGGAAAUUUGAAGGGGGCUGCUCCUAGUACGAGAGGACCGGAGUGGACGAACCUCUGGUGUACCGGUUGUCACGCCAGUGGCAUUGCCGGGUAGCUAAGUUCGGAAGAGAUAACCGCUGAAAGCAUCUAAGCGGGAAACUCGUUUCAAGAUUAGAUCUGCCGGGGCCUUGAGCCCCCUGAAGAGUCGUUCAAGACCAGGACGUUGAUAGGCAGGGUGUGGAAGCGCAGUAAUGCGUUAAGCUAACCUGUACUAAUUGCUCGUGAGGCUUGA
rnacentral:rRNA from 16 species